AAUCUGGUUGAUCCCGGCAGUAGUCAUGUGCUCAGAGGUUAAGUCAUGCGUUUCUAAGUACUUACCCUCAAACGGUGAAACCAUGAGUGGUUCGUGAAAUCAGCUGUGGUUCUUUGGAUCUUGCAUAGUACAUGGAUAACUGUACUAAUUCGGGGUUUUGUGCCUGUCUUUAUGUCCUUACUCGCAAGGGAACGGCUGAAUUUAUCAAGACAACCAAGCGGGAGCGGCUUCGGUCAGUCCGGUUGCAUUGUAUGAUGAAUCUGGGUAAAUUCACCGAUCACAAUUGGCCUUGUGUCGGCGACAGAUCUCCCAGAUGUCUGCCCUAUAAAUUUGAAACUGUAGGUAACCUUAUGAUGGUUCUAUCGAAUAACGGGGAAUCAGGGUUCGAUUCCGGAGACGGUUUGAAAAACAGCUACCAAGAAAGGCAGCAGGCACGCAGAUUAUCCAAUAUCGCCGCGGGGAGAUGACCAAAAUACGGAUACGGGAAUCAAUAAAGACUCCGUAAUUUGAAUGAACGCAACCUAAAUCCCUUAACUUGGAUCAACUGAAGGGCAAGUGUGGUUCUGGUGUUGGGAAUGCGAUCAAACUUGUUCAUUUAGAGGAAGCUAAAGCCGUAGGUGAACCAACGGAAGAAUCAUUG
rnacentral:ncRNA from 1 species